rnacentral:rRNA from 1 species
GUUGGGUAGGGGAGCGUUCUGUAAGCCUGCGAAGGUGUACUGUGAGGUAUGCUGGAGGUAUCAGAAGUGCGAAUGCUGACAUAAGUAACGAUAAUGCGGGUGAAAAACCCGCACGCCGGAAGACCAAGGGUUCCUGUCCAACGUUAAUCGGGGCAGGGUGAGUCGACCCCUAAGGCGAGGCUGAAAAGCGUAGUCGAUGGGAAACGGGUUAAUAUUCCCGUACUGGUGGUAACUGCGAUGGGGGAACGGAGAAGGCUAGGUUGUCCGGGCGACGGUCGUCCCGGUUCAAGCAGGUAGGCAGAGUGAUUAGGCAAAUCCGGUCACUUAAUGCUGAGAUGUGAUGACGAACCACCAAGGUGGUGAAGCAAUUGAUGCCCCGCUUCCAGGAAAAGCCUCUAAGCUUCAGGUUACCAACAAUCGUACCCCAAACCGACACAGGUGGUCAGGUAGAGAAUACUCAGGCGCUUGAGAGAACUCGGGUGAAGGAACUAGGCAAAAUGGUGCCGUAACUUCGGGAGAAGGCACGCUGGCGGUAGGUAAAGUCCCUCGCGGACAGAGCUGAAGCCAGUCGAAGAUACCAGCUGGCUGCAACUGUUUAUUAAAAACACAGCACUGUGCAAACACGAAAGUGGACGUAUACGGUGUGACGCCUGCCCGGUGCUGGAAGGUUAAUUGAUGGGGUUAGCGUAAGCGAAGCUCCUGAUCGAAGCCCCAGUAAACGGCGGCCGUAACUAUAACGGUCCUAAGGUAGCGAAAUUCCUUGUCGGGUAAGUUCCGACCUGCACGAAUGGCGUAAUGAUGGCCAGGCUGUCUCCACCCGAGACUCAGUGAAAUUGAACUCGCUGUGAAGAUGCAGUGUACCCGCGGCAAGACGGAAAGACCCCGUGAACCUUUACUAUAGCUUGACACUGAACAUUGAGCCUUGAUGUGUAGGAUAGGUGGGAGGCUUUGAAGUGUGGACGCCAGUCUGCAUGGAGCCAACCUUGAAAUACCACCCUUUAACGUUUGAUGUUCUAACCUAGGCCCAUAAACUGGGUCGGGGACCGUGUCUGGUGGGUAGUUUGACUGGGGCGGUCUCCUCCUAAAGAGUAACGGAGGAGCACGAAGGUUGGCUAAGCAUGGUCGGACAUCAUGCGGUUAGUGCAAAGGCAUAAGCCAGCUUGACUGCGAGAGUGACGGCUCGAGCAGGUACGAAAGUAGGUCUUAGUGAUCCGGUGGUUCUGAAUGGAAGGGCCAUCGCUCAACGGAUAAAAGGUACUCCGGGGAUAACAGGCUGAUACCGCCCAAGAGUUCAUAUCGACGGCGGUGUUUGGCACCUCGAUGUCGGCUCAUCACAUCCUGGGGCUGAAGUAGGUCCCAAGGGUAUGGCUGUUCGCCAUUUAAAGUGGUACGCGAGCUGGGUUUAGAACGUCGUGAGACAGUUCGGUCCCUAUCUGCCGUGGGCGUUGGAAGAUUGAGAGGGGUUGCUCCUAGUACGAGAGGACCGGAGUGAACGCACCACUGGUGUUCGGGUUGUCAUGCCAAUGGCAUUGCCCGGUAGCUAAGUGCGGAAGAGAUAACCGCUGAAAGCAUCUAAGCGGGAAACUUGCCUCGAGAUGAGUCUUCCCUGUCGCUUUAAGUGACCUAAAGGAACGUUUAAGACUAAGACGUUGAUAGGCUGGGUGUGUAAGCGUAGCGAUACGUUGAGCUAACCAGUACUAAUGAACCGUGAGGCUUAACCUG